rnacentral:lncRNA from 1 species
GCACUUUAUCUAAAAUGUGCGCCCUCUGUGAGUGUCGCUUUAUGUUUUACUCAAAACGCGCGUUCUUGAAAGGGGGAAAUGAAAUCCCCAAAAAUUAAAACCCCGCCUAUUCCAUGUGAAAAAUUAAAACCCGCUCCUCUUCCAAUUAAUUUAAUAAAACCACAAAGGUGCAAUUUGAAUUUUUCAAAAUACUAGGGUUCUAGAAUUUAAUAUUUCAAAGUUACUUUUUAAUUAAAUUUUAAAUCCCAAAACUUGAGGACAAAUUUUGAAACUUUUCAAAAUAUUAGGGUUUAACUAUUUAAAUUUCAAAAACUAAAACUUUUAAGUUUAAGUUUAAACUAUAAAACCUAAAGGGUGUAAUUUGAAACUUUUCAAAAUUACUAGGUCAAAUAUUUGAAUCAUAAUAAUCCUAUAUUAUCCAUAUCUAACCAAAUCCAUUAAUUUUUAUAAGGAUAACCAUACCAAUCAUAAAAAAUCGAUUUUAGGCCAGAAAAACGAGUUUUGGUAGUUAUUUUCAUCAAAAUCUUGCUAGAAAAUCGAAAAUCCCGGCACCAGAGCCCUGGACUCGUCGAGUCCACUAUGGAACUCGUCGAGUUCAUGCAACUCGUCGCGUCCAUACAUGGACUCGGCUAGUCAGCUAGUCAGACAGCCAAAACUUUCGAUUUUCUGUUUUGGCAAUUCAUAUUUGCAUCUAUUCAACUAGAAAACCGACUUAGGNGAUUUGGGAAUUUGUAAAAGUGUUUAGUUACUUCGUAUUUCAUUAUACUUAUAAUGGAAGGUUGUGUCAUAUCCUACCCGUUCGGCUAACGACCCUCCACUAGUCAAGUGUGCGGUGAGUAAGAGUAGAUACCCAAUGGCGGUCAUUUUACAGGCCGCUUUCUUAAACACCCCUUAUAGACUAGCUUCGUGAAUAAGGCCUACUAACAGUAAGACUGACUCUUUACUUAUACAUAUAUAAUAUGUUAAACUUUUAAUCUUAUAUAGUAUAAGANAAAAUGUGCGCCCUCUGUGAGUGUCGCUUUAUGUUUUACUCAAAACGUGCGUUCUUGAAAGGGGGAAAUGAAGNUUAAAAUACUAGGUGGUUUAAACUAUAAAUUAGACUUUUAAUUUAAUCAAAUUUAAACCAUAUUUUUUUAUGGAUUUAUUAAUUAUCUAUUUUAAUUAAACACUUAAUUAAUUUAAUAAAACCACAAAGGUGCAAUUUGAAUUUUUCAAAAUACUAGGGUUCUAGAAUUUAAUAUUUCAAAGUUACUUUUUAAUUAAAUUUUAAAUCCCAAAACUUGAGGACAAAUUUUGAAACUUUUCAAAAUAUUAGGGUUUAACUAUUUAAAUUUCAAAAACUAAAACUUUUAAGUUUAAGUUUAAACUAUAAAACCUAAAGGGUGUAAUUUGAAACUUUUCAAAAUUACUAGGUCA